rnacentral:piRNA from 1 species
UGCUGAUUUCUCUGUGUUCCUCUGAGC